GUGCUUGCUUCAACAGAACAUAUACUAAAAUUGGAAUGAUACAGAGACUAACAUGGCCCUGUACAAGGAUGGCAUGCAAAUUCAUGAAGCGUUCCAUAUUUAA
rnacentral:snRNA from 1 species